rnacentral:lncRNA from 1 species
CUCGGGUGGCCCUGGCUGUGGUCCCCAAGCUGAUGGGGCUCGGUGACGCUCGGGGUGCCCUGAGUUGGGUGAUUUGGGGUCCAGAGUCAGCCUCAUCGCCCUCGCCAGCCGGGAGUGCCCACGGGAGGGUCCCCGUGGGUGCCAACACAGCCAGGGUGGCACGGAAUGGGCCCAGGUGUGUCCAGGGAUGGCUCUGGGUGUGUCCAGGGAGGUUUGGUGCUCCCAAAACCUCCUGGGAUACUGGGACAAACUGGGAGAGGGCAAAGCAAGAGGGGCUCAGCCCCUCGUUGUACCAGUGAACACAACUGGGGUCCCACAGACCCCUCCCUGUCCUCACACCCUGUCCCCAGAGCCCUGUCCCUGUCCCCAGAGCGUGUCCCUGUCCCCAGAGCGUGUCCCUGUCCCUAAAGCAUGUCUCUGUCCUCAGAGGGUGACCCUGUCCUCACACCCUGUCCCUGUCCCCACACCCUGUCCCCAGAGCCUGUUCCUGUCCCCACACCCUGUCCCCAGAGAGUGUCCCUGUCCCCAGAGCGUGUCCCUGUCCCCAGAGCUUGUCCCUGUCCCCAGAGCAUGUCCCUGUCCCCACACCCUGUCCCCAGAGAGUGUCCCUGUCCCCAGAGUGUGUCUCUGUCCCCAGAGCAUGUCCCUGUCCCCAGAGCUUGUCCCUGUCCCCAGAGCAUGUCCCUGUCCCCACACCCUGUCCCCAGAGAGUGUCCCUGUCCCCAGAGCGUGUCCCUGUCCCCAUGUCCCUGUCCCCAGAGCGUGUCCCUGUCCCCAUGUCCCUGUCCCCAUGUCCCUGUCCCCACGCCCUGGCCCGGCAGAGGACACGGGGAAGGUAAACGGGGCAGGUUGGGGCAGGGGCUGCGGGAAUAGUCAGGGAUUAAAAGCAAAUACCCAGAUAAUGAGGAUCUUUGGUAAAAAGCCCAUUUGUAUAAUUUAAACCUCUAAUAGGCUUCCUGGAAUACAAAGCCCUUUGUGAUGCCCGAUCUCAUCUGGAUCAGGAACCAGAUCUCGCUAAAUCUUGACUUAACAGCACGGGGAUGGGGGGACGUUUCAUAACAUUUCAUAAGGGAGCAGCUCCA